rnacentral:sRNA from 1 species
CGCCCUUCUGAAGCCUUAACCCAGCUGGCUUCCUUCUGCCAGCGACCCCCUUUCUGCCCUUUUGCGGCCCUGGACGAGCGGCCCAGGGUCCCUGGGGCUGAGCUGCCCACAGAUCGAGGUGUGGACCUGGGUGUGGCCGUCAUUCUGCAGUCCAGCGACAAGACUGUCUUGCUAACCAGAAGGGCACGCACCCUCAGCGUUUCCCCCAACCUCUGGGUACCCCCGGGUGGGCACGUGGAACUUCAGGAGGAGGUAACCAGUCACCUGAUCCAACCUGAGCCAAGAGACCCAUGCCUGGGACCACCUUGGGUGUGGACUGAGGGAGGGGCAAGCAAAAGGACUUGGAAGAGUCAGGCACUGGCCCCUCUGAUGUGUCUUCUCUGACUCCCAGCUGCUGGACGGAGGGCUUCGAGAACUUUGGGAGGAGACUGGACUACACCUGCCCCAGGGACAGUUCUCUUGGGUCCCUCUGGGUUUAUGGGAGUCUGCCUACCCUCCUAGGCUGAGCUGGGGUUUACCCAAAUACCAUCACAUUGUUCUGUAUCUACUCGUGAUCUCCCAGGAAUCACAGCAGCAGUUGCAGGCCCGGAUCCAACCAAACCCAAGUGAGGUGAGCGCCCUUACGUGGCUGACACCAGAUGUAGCUGCUGCAGUGGCUGCCACAGAGGAUGGGACAGAGACACCCAGACUUCUCCCCCAGGACCUACCACCCUCUGUCCUUGCAGUGGAACUAGAGGAGGAUGGAAGAGCCCGACCUCUGGUCCUGCCCAUGUCCACCCUCCUGCGGAUGAUCCCAACCAUGGCAGAGGGCAAAGAGAGAGUCAGCACUGGAACCAAGUUUGCCCUCAAGCUCUGGCUGCAACAUCUGGGCAG